GCCGGGCGCGGUGGCUCACGCCUGUAAUCCCAGCACUUUGGGAGGCUGAGGCAGGCGGAUCACCUGAGGUCAGGAGUUCGAGACCAGCCUGACCAACAUGGAGAAACCCUGUCUCUA
ensembl:misc_RNA Metazoa_SRP Metazoan signal recognition particle RNA